ACCUGGUGACAUCUCUGGUCUGUGGAGGAUGGGAGCGCGGAUGUGGUUGGCAAGAGGAGUUGGCCUGAGGAGCCCAGGGCCAGGCAUUUGAUGAGCAGGAGCCUGGGAGCACUGGGCACCCUUGAAUCAGGCGGAGGAAGAGGCCAGGCAAGCGGCGUCUGCGGGAGGCCGCGAUUGGGAGAGGCCGGCGCACUCUACCUGGGAGCUGAGGAUACU
rnacentral:lncRNA from 1 species